rnacentral:misc_RNA from 1 species
GAAAUGCGAUAAGUAGUGUGAAUUGCAGAAUUCAGUGAAUCAUCGAAUCUUUGAACGCACAUUGCGCCCCUCGGUAUUCCGUGGGGCAUGCCUGUUCGAGCGUCAUCUACACCCUCAAGCUCUGCUUGGUGUUGGGCGUCUGUCCCGCCUCCUUCGCGCGCGGACUCGCCCCAAAUCCAUUGGCGGCGGCCCUUGCCUCCCUCUCGCGCAGCACAUUGCGCUUCUCGAGGCGCGGCGGACCGCGUCCAGCAAGCAACCGUCACAACGUCUUUGACCUCGGAUCAGGUAGGGAUACCCGCUGAACUUAAGC